CACGGCCCAGACUCCUACGGGAGGCAGCAGUGGGGAAUAUUGGACAAUGGGGGCAACCCUGAUCCAGCCAUGCCGCGUGUGUGAAGAAGGCCUUCGGGUUGUAAAGCACUUUUGUCCGGAAAGAAAUCAUCGGGGCUAAUACCUCUGGUGGAUGACGGUACCGGAAGAAUAAGCACCGGCUAACUACGUGCCAGCAGCCGCGGUAAUACGGAGGGUGCGAGCGUUAAUCGGAAUUACUGGGCGUAAAGCGGGCGCAGACGGUUACUUAAGCAGGAUGUGAAAUCCCCGGGCUCAACCUGGGAACU
rnacentral:rRNA from 1 species